GCCCAGAGGGAGGGGCUCUUCGUGUGUCCUUGCCACAUGAGUUAUCCCUUUGGUUUUGGCUGGUUGGUUGCUUGGGAUUUUGGUGGCCUUGAUCAUCAUGCAAAAAAAAAAAAAAAGACAAAAGAUUAUCCUGGCCUACAGUUUUCAUCUUAGCUGACUGGUUCCUAGAUGUGAUGGUCAAUGGCAUGGGCAGAACGAUGCUAUCCAUCCAGGUCACUGCUGCAGGUACCAGGUGAAAGAUGAGUCGAAAUGGCUACUCAGCGUUUUAGCGAAUAAUGUAGACAAGAAUUAUUGGAACCACAUUGGACUUGGCAAGAUGCACAGAGUUUGUUUCUUUCACUGGUUCCAGUUAUCUGGAAACAGAUUGUGAUUUUUCACAGAUUCGUUGUUUAAA